AUUGAACGCUGGCGGCAUGCCUUACACAUGCAAGUCGAACGGCAGCACGGGUGCUUGCACCUGGUGGCGAGUGGCGAACGGGUGAGUAAUACAUCGGAACGUACCUUAUCGUGGGGGAUAACGCAGCGAAAGCUGUGCUAAUACCGCAUACGCCCUGAGGGGGAAAGCGGGGGAUCGCAAGACCUCGCGCGAUUAGAGCGGCCGAUGCCUGAUUAGCUUGUUGGUGGGGUAAAAGCCCACCAAGGCGACGAUCAGUAGCUGGUCUGAGAGGACGAUCAGCCACACUGGGACUGAGACACGGCCCAGACUCCUACGGGAGGCAGCAGUGGGGAAUUUUGGACAAUGGGGGCAACCCUGAUCCAGCAAUGCCGCGUGAGUGAAGAAGGCCUUCGGGUUGUAAAGCUCUUCUGUCAGGGAAGAAACACCGGCUCUAACACAGUCCGGGAAUGACGGUACCUGAAGAAUAAGCACCGGCUAACUACGUGCCAGCAGCCGCGGUAA
rnacentral:rRNA from 1 species